UACGGAGGGAGCUAGCGUUGUUCGGAAUUACUGGGCGUAAAGCGCACGUAGGCGGCUAUUCAAGUCGGGGGUGAAAGCCCGGGGCUCAACCCCGGAACUGCCCUCGAAACUAGGUAGCUAGAAUCUUGGAGAGGUCAGUGGAAUUCCGAGUGUAGAGGUGAAAUUCGUAGAUAUUCGGAAGAACACCAGUGGCGAAGGCGACUGACUGGACAAGUAUUGACGCUGAGGUGCGAAAGCGUGGGGAGCAAAACAGG
rnacentral:rRNA from 1 species